GACGUAGGGCGCGAGCGUUGUCCGGAUUUAUUGGGCGUAAAGAGCUCGUAGGCGGCUUGUCGCGUCGUCCGUGAAAACCUGCGGCUCAACUGCAGGCUGGCGGUCGAUACGGGCAGGCUGGAGUUCGGUAGGGGAGACUGGAAUUCCUGGUGUAGCGGUGAAAUGUGUAGAGAUCGGGAGGAACACCGGUGGCGAAGGCGGGUCUCUGGGCAAUUCCUGACGCUGAGGCACGAAGGUCAGGGGAGCAAACGGG
rnacentral:rRNA from 1 species